AUUGAACGCUGGCGGCAGGCCUAACACAUGCAAGUCGAACGAGUGGCGGACGGGUGAGUAAUGUCUGGGAAACUGCCUGAUGGAGGGGGAUAACUACUGGAAACGGUACCUAAUACCGCAUACCAUCGGAUGUGCCCAGAUGGGAUUAGCUAGUGGGUGGGGUAAAGGCUCACCUAGGCGACGAUCCCUAGCUGGUCUGAGAGGAGGAACAGCCACAAUGGAACGGAGACACGGUCCAGACGCCGACGGGAGGAAGCAGUGGGGAAUAGUGCACAAUGGGCGCAAGCCUGAUGCAGCCAUGCCGGGUGUAUGAAGAAGGCCUUCGGGUUGUAAAGUACUUUCAGCGGGGAGGCGUUACCCGCAGAAGAAGCACCGGCUAACUCCGUGCCAGCAGCCGCGGUAAUUC
rnacentral:rRNA from 1 species